rnacentral:rRNA from 1 species
ACGGGUGAGUAACGCGUAGGAAUAUGCCUUAAAGUGGGGGACAACUUGGGGAAACUCAAGCUAAUACCGCAUAAUUUCUUAGGAAAAAAGCUGGGGACCUUCGGGCCUGGCGCUUUAAGAUUAGCCUGCGUCCGAUUAGCUAGUUGGUAGGGUAAAGGCCUACCAAGGCGACGAUCGGUAGCUGGUCUGAGAGGAUGGCCAGCCACACUGGAACUGAGACACGGUCCAGACUCCUACGGGAGGCAGCAGUGGGGAAUAUUGGACAAUGGGGGCAACCCUGAUCCAGCAAUGCCGCGUGUGUGAAGAAGGCCUGAGGGUUGUAAAGCACUUUCAGUGGGGAGGAGGGUUGAUAGUUUAAGAGACGAUUAACUGGACGUUACCCACAGAAGAAGCACCGGCUAACUCCGUGCCAGCAGCCGCGGUAAUACGGAGGGUGCGAGCGUUAAUCGGAAUUACUGGGCGUAAAGAGUUCGUAGGUGGUUGGAUAAGUUAUCUGUGAAAUCCCUGGGCUUAACCUGGGCAGGUCAGAUAAUACUGUUUGACUCGAGUAUGGGAGAGGGUAGUGGAAUUUCCGGUGUAGC